UAAUACGUAGGGGGCGAGCGUUGUCCGGAGUGACUGGGCGUAAAGCGCGCGCAGGCGGCCAUCCGCGCCGGUCGUGAAAGCCCCCGGCUCAACCGGGGCACGUCGAUCGGGACGGGGUGGCUGGAGGGUGUCAGAGGGGGGUGGAACGCCGCGUGGAGCAGUGAAAUGCGUAGAGAUGCGGCAGAACACCGGAGGCGAAGGCGGCCCCCUGGGGCACAUCUGACGCUGAGGCGCGAAGGCGCGGGGAGCGAACGGGAUUAGAUACCCCGGUAGUCCGCGCAGUAAACGAUGGCGGCUGGCUGUCGGCGGUUUGACCCCGUCGGUGGCUGAGCUAACGCGCAAGCCGCCCGCCUGGGGAGUACGGCCGCAAGGCUA
rnacentral:rRNA from 1 species